GACAAAGCCAGGCUCCACAGAAGAAAUUCAACCAUCCCGAGCCCUCCAUGCCAUUAGAAAGCCCAAACUAGCCAUGUGGAGAAGCUACAUGGAGAGAGAGCGUUGAUAGCAACCUCCACCUAUUCCAGCCAGCCUAACCCAAAGGCCAGGCAAGGGAGUGAAGGGACUAUCUUGAAUAUCCAUUCAGCCAAGUCCAGCCUUCUGAUGACUCCAGCCCCAGCAGCUGUCUGACUACCACUGCGUGAGAGACUCCGGUGGGAAUUGACACCCAGCAGAGGCCAAUCAAUCCACAGGGUUGAAUGGGAAGACAAAUGAAGGAACAGGCUGAAGAGUAAAGAAGAAGCCACAACACUCAAGGAGACAUUUGGACACAGAGACACACAGAGGGAAGACAGUGUGAAGACACGGGGAGAAUUCUAUCUACAAGCCAAAGCAUGGCUGAGGAUACAUGAAGCUAAGAGAGAGGCAGACAGCAGAAUCCGUCUCAGCACUUGGAAGGAACCAACUCUGCUGACACCUUGAUCUUGGACUUCCAGCCUCCAGAACUAGGAGGAAAUAAAUUUCUGUUGUUUAAGACAACCA
rnacentral:lncRNA from 1 species